UGAAAUCGAAACGAAUUAACAUCAGACGACAUCUUUGUUCCUUUAAAAUACUCGCUUAGUAACUAUCAAGUAUGGUGGAUGUCCCGUCCCUGUCAUAAUGUCUACCAUUUUAUUAGUUGUAAGUAAAGCAAUGAGGAGUAACUCAGCUGGGAUGAAAUCCAAUGAACAUACUUGAUUCUGAAGAAGAUAGCAUUGAAAUCUUUCUACAGCAGCAUCAAUUAGUCCAGUGAAAUAUUGAACUAUUCCACUAAUCAGCUCUCAACACUUGAAAAUGCCACAUGGGUUUCCUAAGGUUCUAUAUUUCCGGCAAAUUUGAGUCUGUUUGCCACAGGUCGUCGCACAUGACGUAUUUACGAAUAUUAAAAAGAGGGUACUCAAAAAAAAAUUAAGGUUCAGUUUGUCCUGUGUCAGUGGUCUGGAAUAUUUCACCUAUAAAGGCGUUCCUGGAAUGUUGCAGACUGCACAACAUGAAGUCAGCAGAGAUUUAAUUUAAUUUAAAAUAAAUUGUGCAUAUUGUUAAUUUUUAUGAAAAUAAAUUAUUAGUAAUAAAAUUAUAUUUUUGACCAAGUG